rnacentral:rRNA from 1 species
CAAGUCGAACGAUGAAGUGGAGCUUGCUCCACGGAUUAGUGGCGAACGGGUGAGGAACACGUGAGAAACCUGCCUCGGAUUUUGGGAUAACAAAUGGAAACGCUUGCUAAUACCAAAUAACGUCGGAGAGUCACAUGACUUUCUGACGAAAGGAAUUCCGAUUCGAGAGGGUCUCGCGGCCUAUCAGCUUGUUGGCGGGGUAAUGGCCCACCAAGGCAACGACGGGUAGCUGGUCUGAGAGGAUGGUCAGCCACACUGGGACUGAGACACGGCCCAGACUCCUACGGGAGGCAGCAGUGGGGAAUCUUGCGCAAUGGGCGAAAGCCUGACGCAGCAACGCCGCGUGCGGGAAGAAGGCUUUCGGGCUGUAAACCGCUUUCAGCAGGAACGAAAAUGACGGUACCUGCAGAAGAAGGAGCGGCCAACUAUGUGCCAGCAGCCGCGGUGAUACAUAGGCUUCAAGCGUUGUCCGGAUUUAUUGGGCGUAAAGAGUUCGUAGGCGGUCGAGUAAGUCGGGUGUGAAAAUUCUGGGCUCAACCCAGAGAUGCCACCCGAUACUGCUUAACUUGAGUUCGAUAGGGGAGUGGGGAAUUCCUAGUGUAGCGGUGAAAUGCGCAGAUAUUAGGAGGAACACCGGUGGCGAAGGCGCCACUCUGGAUCGACACUGACGCUGAGGAACGAAAGCAUGGGUAGCAAACAGGAUUAGAUACCCUGGUAGUCCAUGCGGUAAACGGUGGGCACUAGGUGUGGGUUUCUAUUAACGAAAUCCGCGCCGUCGCUAACGCAUUAAGUGCCCCGCCUGGGGAGUACGGUCGCAAGACUAAAACUCAAAGGAAUUGACGG